rnacentral:lncRNA from 1 species
AUCCAGACCCUUCUAUACCUAUCUCCUCUCCUCUUCCUCCUACACCUGUUCCAGAACCUCCUUAUAUUGCUCCAGAUUCUACUGAUCCAGCUCCCAUUCAUUCUUUCAAUCCUGAUAUCUCUCCUCCUGCCUUGGCCUCUUCCUCAUCUAUUCCUGCUCCCAGAAAAUCUGAAAGAUAGCAUAAUCCUCCCUCUUACCUUAAGGACUACGUCUGUCAACUUCCUGCCUUUUUUGGUUCCUCUUCCUCUUCUUUGGAAUCUAAACCUCUAUAUUACUCUCAAG